GUGAAGAUUUCUCACUGUUCUGUUGAUUGUUUGUUUUGAAAUUGUUGAUUAAAUCAAAGCCAUUUCGAUGGUGAUGCAUUCCUCUCUAAACAAGUCUCAGGGUAAAUUACUUUCUUCAUAACCCAUUAUCUGAACCUGAACACUUGCUCACUGGAGCUCAAAAAGCUGGACUUGACUGAGUUUGGACACCGCCCAGGAUUUCUAAGUAACUGACAGCACUCUCAAUCUGAAGUUACAAAGAAAUUCCAUGAAAGAGCUUUUAUUUUCUAUUGUCUGAAGUCCAUGUUCAUCAUCUUGACACCUCAUGAUGAGAUCUAGAGUCCUAUAAAAGAGCAUCUUCUGCCUGAUCCAAGAGAAAACAGCUUGUCAAGACUAUAUAAGAACAAUGAGUGCUUCCAAACUCCAG